CUACUUGACAUAAAGCCUGUUUAGACCAUUGUGGUGACUGGGGUGUGUAUUUGUGCAUUGCUAGCUCUCUUUGCUAGCAGGGAGGUUCACAGCAAGACUCACUGACUGAACAUGGUCCAAGAGUUUGCCUGGCAAAUCCUGUAUUUCUUAUCUGAUUAAUUAAAUGGUUCAGUAAAGGAUGGAGAAGACCUUCUCAAACUGCUAAGAAAUGCUUCCUUGAAAGGGCUUUUGAAUAACCUGCAUCUGUGAGGGGUUGACAAGACACAGCCAUGUGGUGCAGAAUGGAACCCGGUAUUUUGGGGGAGGGAAAUUUGCUCAGACCAGGGUUAGUUCCCUGUCAGAUGGGAAUGAACAAACAUCAUUCUCACCACUACCUCCAGCCCAGAACCACAGCAACCUGAAAACUUGUUACUUCCUGAGCCUAUGCACUCUUUUGCUGGCAGCCAUACAUGAAAGCAGUUGGCCUAUCUAAAUUAAGUGCCGCACAUAAUGGAAUAUCAAUCACUGCUGUUAACUCCAAAGUGAUAAUGUAGUUAGGGAGAACAAAUUGCACUGAGGAAAUACGGGUGUUUUUUUUUUAGUCUCAAAGCGAUCUCUUAGUGUAGCAACCUCUGGAGCUAAUAUUAGGUCUGGGAAUUUCACAGGCACUAAUAGGAUUAGGCACAUGACUUCCUUUUCAGCCUAAUGGGAGUCAAGUGUUUAAUUCCCUUGAGCUUCUCUGAGAUUUCAGCACAGAUUCAGAAGCGGCACCCAAACCAUCAGUACACCCAGAUCUCCUCUGACUGUCCCCCAGGCAAGGAUAGAAUUGCUAAUCCACCAUCAGAAGGGUAGAUGGCCUUUCCAAGGAAAAGCACUCGGUGUGCAACCUGUGACAAAACAGUUCAUGCUCCAACUCAAAAUGUAAAACAAAAUAUCAUAACUUCAUAUAGUACCUUUUCAAAAUAUGAAAUAAUAGAAUUGUGCUCUUUCACUCACAAGAGGAAACCUGUUCUUAUUUACCAACAACUCAUUUGGGGCAUGGGAUGAGGGAUCUCAAGUCUUACUCAGCUUCAGUUUGGUGUUUAUGGCAAGGUUCAUGGUGCCUUUCCAUCUUCAGGAACAGCUGAAAAAUACUAAUGGGAGUGUUAAAAGUAGUGAAGACCUGCUCGCAGUGCUGCUAGAGGGCUCUGGAUGAUCAAAUCCUGAAAUAGAAACAUGUGACAGAAAAAGCCUGUGCUGCCUGGAUGUCUUUAUGAUCUCAAAACAUACAGCUUAUGAUGGCUUUCUGAGCCUCCUCUUCAGACUUCAUUAUUCCUGUAGUAUUUCCAUUUGCCACCCAGGGACGACCUGCACGAGGUAAGCUUGCAAGGGAAUCUCAUUUCUAAUUAAUACAGUAUUUUACUUAAUGACUAAUAGCUUUUGACAUGGUAAUUUUGAAAUGGGCUUUCCCUUGAUGAAUUCAGAGAAGAGUAUUUAAAUAAUGGUUCCCUCCUCUCCCCAUCAAUUUUUGAUUAAACCUUGGACAUGUGCGCUCUUCCCCAGGCUGGUACAAUGGACAAGCAGAGAUCUUUAUUGCCUAAAAAAUCAAAUUAUAAAUGUUAUGGUGUAGUCCUUACCAAUUUCACUCACACUCUUCAGAAGCUAGUCCUAAGCAGGAGCAUAAAUGAAGAGAAGGCACAGCCCAGAACUACUCUGUUACAAUAUGUCUGUAAACCUAGCAAAACCAUAAUUAGCUGGUUAAGUUUAUUUUAUUAAUGUUUCCCACAAUGUUCUCUAAAGGGACUUCUAGAAAUGACUACGCAUGUGUACUUCUAAAGCGUAUGAAGUGAAAAUGAAUAGAGUCAUGAAUAUAUGCUGAAGGAAAGGGUUGUAUUUUGCCUGGUCUGUACAGCCUCCAGCUAAGGGUAUACAAGUGCAUGAACUGCAGUGUGUGGCUCCUAAAGCAACUUAAGUAACGGUGAUUUUCCUCCUGAGCUAUGAACUCAGCUGGCUGUGAUAUGGGUUAAAUAAAUCCUGAUCUAUCUAUGCACUUGUGACAGGUCAGAACAGGUUGCAUAUUUCUAGCGAUGCAGUCACCUUCCUGGUGGGUGCUAUCAAAGCCCCUCUACUUGAGUUGAUUGUGGAAACAUCUCAUGACUGUGUCUUACCUCCC